GAGUAUUACGCCGGAUGAACGGAAAUCAUUGAUGUUGAUUAAUAUGGAAUAUUUAAUGUUUCUAAUACUAG
rnacentral:tRNA from 1 species